rnacentral:rRNA from 1 species
UCAGACGAUGCGUCAUGCAUAUCAAUAAGCGGAGGAAAAGAAACUAACAAGGAUUCCCUUAGUAACGGCGAGUGAAGCGGGAAGAGCUCAAAUUUGAAAUCUUCAAGGUUUUACCUUGACGAAUUGUAGUUUAAAGAAGUGUUUUCUGUAGUGGAGUUUGGUAAAAGUUCUUUGGAAUAGGACAUCAUAGAGGGUGAGAAUCCCGUAUUUGGAUCCAUUAUUUCCAGCUGUGUGAUACACUUUCAAAGAGUCGGAUUGUUUGGGAAUGCAGUCCAAAAUGGGUGGUAAAUUUCAUCUAAAGCUAAAUAUUGGCGAGAGACCGAUAGCGAACAAGUACCGGAGGGAAAGAUGAAAAGAACUUUGAAAAGAGAGUUAAACAGUACGUGAAAUUGUCAAAAGGGAGGCGUUUGACACCAGUGUUGUUUUUCCGAAAAUCAAUUAAAAAUGGAUUCAUGCCAAGUUGUAUUGACCUUAUCAGCUUGCAAUUUGGUUUUGGGUUCUUUUUGAUGCACUUUUCGGUUAACAAGUCAACAUCAAUUUCCUUUGCUGUAAAAGGGCAGAAGGAAGGUGGCUUCAAUUUCGGUUGAAGUGUUUAUAGCCUUUUGUCUCUGCAGUCGGGGAGAUUGAGGUCUGCAGCGUAGAUCCUUCGGGGUUAGAUACAUUCGUGCUAAGUUAUAGCCUUUUAUAGACAACUUGUUGACUAUGAUCGGUCAUUGUAAUUUACUCGCGAGUGCUAUUUUACCUACGCUUAGGAUGUUGAUAUGCAUGACUGAUAU